rfam:Eubacterium sp. CAG:274 genomic scaffold, scf91
GGGGAUGCAAUGGUUUCGACGGGGAUUUUGAAAGUCGGGAUAGCCAUUAGAAAUGGGUAAUUCUUUAAAAACCCAAAACUUUUAAAAAUAAACGACAAAAAUAAUUUUGCGUUAGCAGCCUAAGUUGCUGCUCAUCAACCCUAGUCUUCUCACCUACUAGGUGUUUGGUGUCGACUUGGUGAGGCACUUUUUCUACAAAGCUUUGAGUAGAGGAAAGAUUUUAUGAAGCUACUGAGGUAUAAAGCCUGUUUGUCGGCGUUAUAACGAGGGAAUGUUAAAAGAUAAACUGUAAUGGGAGAAGUCCUGACCGACGGAUUUUCGGACAGGGGUUCAAUUCCCCUCAUCUCCACUA